rnacentral:rRNA from 1 species
UACGUAGGGUGCGAGCGUUGUCCGGAAUUAUUGGGCGUAAAGAGCUCGUAGGCGGUGUGUCGCGUCGGCCGUGAAAACCUGCAGCUUAACUGUGGGCUUGCGGUCGAUACGGGCAUCACUGGAGUUCGGCAGGGGAGACUGGAAUUCCUGGUGUAGCGGUGAAAUGCGCAGAUAUCAGGAGGAACACCGGUGGCGAAGGCGGGUCUCUGGGCCGAUGACUGACGCUGAGGCACGAAAGCGUGGGGAGCAAACAGG